GGCAGCUCGCCAUAUUUAACAUAUAAAAAAACUUUAUAUGUUAAAUUUGGCGGGCUUCCGCCAAUGACCCGUGUCUUGUAUGCCCUGUGGAGAGAUGCACCCAUCUUCCCCCUAAAAAACAUAGAAAACAUUUGCUUGAGUUGUUGGACCGAGCGAACCUUGCAUAAUGCGUCAAGGGAAACUAUUGGUCGAGCGAGACAUUUGUUCAGGGUAAUAGGGAACAGAGGUUGAACCUGUGGUUUGACGCAACAAAGAACUUCCGUACUUACUCUAUUCUAUGACUACUGCAGUGACACCGGUCGGCUUGAAUCGAGCCCAAAUCAGUUUUCUGGAUUUGAAAUGAUAGCCAUUCAAGUUUAUAAUAAAAAGCAAUCAUGCUGUAGUGAACUACUUUUAAAAAAAAA